CGAGGGGACUAAUAAUUACCAUUUUUACGUGGUUUUUAUGCAUCAGAUUACCCCUCUUCGCCAAAUUUUGACAGUUUCUCCAAUAUUUCGCCCGCUUCGCCUCGGUCACCAAGCAAUGUUUUGUUUAUGUUUAAAAAUCAUGGUGCGCGGUCGGGUAAACUUUCGGCAGUACAUUUUUGUGCGCUCGAGAAAAUGUUGUAGAAAGUAGAGGCAUAGAUCAUCAUCCUAGAAAAAUUUUCUGCUUUAGUUAAAUAUGCGCGACCAGCGAAAGCCGGAAAAGAUUUUACCCAAAGCGAUUAUUAUAAUAAAUAAAUUACAAAUUUAUCGCCGUCGGGAAUGAUUCUUCUGUUGGAGCCAGCAGAGGACAUAGGGCACAAAACGGAUAAUCCCGGAAAGACCGACAUCCGGAUAGUACGCGGAUAAAAUAUAUCGCCCCUCUUUUCAUAAACAACAACUCGGCGAGCUUCGUCCAUGGUGGUUUGGACACGAAGGCACACUGGUGAUCGGCCACAAAUAGAUUCAUAACAAGAUCCAGCAGUUAAACUUUCGCGAUUGUCAUGCCAAGAUUAACCAGGUGGAUUCGUAGGCUACCGUCGGCACCGUAUCACGCAAUCCUUUGUGCUGGCCGUCCAAUCGCCGAAUAAGUAUUACUUCCAUAAUGAUAUCUUCCAGUAUCAGGACAUUGACUCCGACGACGAACUCGAUGAGAAUGAUCGUUCCGGAGAGGAUGGGGGAAAGUGGAUGCCAACAAUGCCGUGGAAGAUCAGCAGCAGUUGGUGCAGGCGAACGCUGUUGCUGCACCAAAACGUACGACAAUCUGGUCAAAUCCGGAUGUGUUGGCUUUUGUUUCGUCCUAUCACCACCACCAGCUGCAAUCCUACCAUCAGUCGAGAGGAUACAGCAACGUGCCAGCCGGACGUCCAUUAGUGAUGUCCCCUUCGCCGUCGUUGCAAAGCCUCCAGUUCUUGGUCCAGUUCAUACAAUGGCGGACCCAUCAAUACCGUAUAUUCUAUCUACUGGUGGUAGACUGGGUGGCAAGUACGAUUGUGGCCAACAGCAAGUCAUCACAGCAGCAGCAGCAUGGGUCAGGGACAUAUUCCACAGCGGAUGCAAAACAAACAGGACCGAUCCGGGACAAUGGUGACUCAACCAGUUGUAGUGGACAGAGCUCGACCAAAUAACAUAAUAGCCGACCAAGCUAUCAGGAGCUACAUCAGCGACGGCGAAGUUUAUUUACAGCUAAAAUCUAGUAAUCGGG